rfam:Microbacterium sp. SCN 71-17 ABS60_C0086, whole genome shotgun sequence.
UUCUGAUCGCCGGCUGUGAUCCCCAGCCGCACGCCCUGACGCACUUCCCCGGCGCCAGGUCGAGCGGAUGGGGAUCAGAGUCGGCGACCUCCUCCCG